ACCAUGCUGGAAUAACUGGUUAUUCUUUCUGCCGAACUGGAGCAGGAAGAAGGAAUAACCAAGAUGGGACGAGUCUUUGAUUAUGUUGGCUACUCUUCUGAGACAGCGUGAAGUGGAGAUGGAGUCAAUUAUGCUCAGUCCUGCCACCCCAAGAAAUUUGGCGAAGAUUCAUGUUACCGGAAAUCGGUCUUUCACACCCUCCGAUAUUCUUGGAAUUUAUAUUCUGCCACUGUACCAGCUACAUAAUUCAGUUUUUAUUGGGAAAAAAAAAAACACAAGCUGAGA